UACGUAGGGGGCAAGCGUUGUCCGGAAUUAUUGGGCGUAAAGAGCGUGUAGGCGGUCCGGUAAGUCCGCUGUGAAAGCCCACGGCUCAACCGUGGAGGGUCAUUGGAAACUGGAGGACUUGAGUACAGAAGAGGAAAGCGGAAUUCCACGUGUAGCGGUGAAAUGCGUAGAGAUGUGGAGGAACACCAGUGGCGAAGGCGGCUUCUGGUCUGUAACUGACGCUGAGGCGCGAAAGCGUGGGAGCAAACAGG
rnacentral:rRNA from 1 species